rnacentral:rRNA from 1 species
GACGAACGCUGGCGGCGUGCUUAACACAUGCAAGUCGAACGGAAAGGCCCUGCUUUUGUGGGGUGCUCGAGUGGCGAACGGGUGAGUAACACGUGAGUAACCUGCCCUUGACUUUGGGAUAACUUCAGGAAACUGGGGCUAAUACCGGAUAGGAGCUCCUGCUGCAUGGUGGGGGUUGGAAAGUUUCGGCGGUUGGGGAUGGACUCGCGGCUUAUCAGCUUGUUGGUGGGGUAGUGGCUUACCAAGGCUUUGACGGGUAGCCGGCCUGAGAGGGUGACCGGCCACAUGGGGACUGAGAUACGGCCCAGACGCCUACGGGAGGCAGCAGUGGGGAAUAUUGCACAAUGGGCGGAAGCCUGAUGCAGCAGCGCCGCGUGCGGAAUGACGGCCUUCGGGUUGUAAACCGCUUUCGCCUGUGACGAAGCGUGAGUGACGGUAAUGGGUAAAGAAGCACCGGCUAACUACGUG